ensembl:lncRNA
CCUGGUUCGUCUCCGAGGCGGUGCUGUCGCCGCCCCUGUGCUGCGCCGUCCCCGGGAGCGGACCGAGGCCUGGGGAGGUUCCGACUGGACAGACCGUGGGCUUUCCCUCUGAAGGUUCCACUCCGCGCCAGGCCUCCCUCCCUCCUCCGCCGGGCAGGGUGCUUUCCUCACGCGCCUGUAAUCCUGGUGCUCGGGAGGCUGAGGCAGGUCGAGGCCAGCAUGGCUGCACAGUGAGAUCAGGGCCAGCCUAGGCUACAGGGCGAGACCCUGUCUCAGGCACCGGACCGAAGACAGACAGCUCACGUGAUAAAGACAACUGUGCAGGGCAAGGACACCAAGAUAAAGCAGAUAGACUGAAACAAGCACAGAGGACAUGAAGAAAUCUCACAAAAGCCAUUGAGACUAAAAUAGUCUCAUCUUCACUAGUACUUAGAGAAAUGCAAAUUAAAGCAAUAAGAU